CCUGAAGUUGGCCAAGUUGGCAGCGCCUUACCCGGGAGGGCGGCGGCGGCGUCCCCGGGGGCGCCGGGGCGGCUGGACUGCAGACCCCCGAGCAGCAGGACGCAGCGCAGCAGAGUCUAGCCCAACGUAUUACAAACAGAAGGCUUUCAAAACGUGUUUUGAGCUGACGCAUGAAGUUUAUAGACGUGCCGACUGGAGCUCAGGGUGGGCGUCUGGCCCAAGGUCACACAAGUUUAGAGUAGUGACCUGAAUACAGUCCUCACUAGGUGAGUGCUCUUCUAUCAUCUCGUUCUAGCAGAUUCCAGAGAACGGUUUUGCCUAGUUAAUGUGGGCUGGGAGAAGGGUUAAUAUUCAGGUUGUGGGUAUGGUUGUGAGAACCUGUAGAUGCAAAGAAGCAAUGGCUCCUGAAAUUCAUAUGUAGGGAAGGACUUUGCUUUUCAAGCUCAGGGCACAGGUCUAUUUUAGCAUCAGGCCAAGGCGCACACUUGGGGGGCCUUCUGUGUCCUGCAGACAUCUCUCCAGGGUCCUUGUGACAGGGAGGAGGAAUCUAGCAAUACCUCCUGCUUUUUAUUUUUUCAGUUGCUGAAAACAUCUUUAUGUCUCCCACCCACUUCAAGCCUGAUAGAACCACGAGGAAGUCAAGGCAGAGGCUUCGAUUCCCACCUGUCAAUUAGUACACAGGAACGGGAAGAUUCAGAGUUGUCCAGGGCUGGGGUGGGGCAGGAUUUUAGCUUCCUCAUAUAUAAAGCAAGAUGACAAGAUCGGAUGGCUUAGGAAAUCUGAAGCAGGGAUGUUCUGGGAAGCCAUGUCCCCAUUUUCCCACCUAAGUUCCGCCCAGGACUGCAGAGGCAGGGCUGCUGCUGCCCCAGACCAGCUGGGCCUCCAGGUAGAUUUCUAAGGGCUAGCCACGAGGGAGGGAAGGGACAUAGUGAAGGAAGCCCCAGGGAGUGGAGCCCUAGAUGAGGGCAAGAUACACCUCCAGCCUCCAGUUGAGGUGCAGCCUUUACCCAGUGUCUGCACAUGGGGGACACUGAAUCUGCCUCCCAUUUUCAAGCCUGCAGUUCAUCCCCAUUCGAUCCUACCCUACCUACGACCAGGCACCAAAUCUCUCUGGGCCUGUUUCCUCAUCUGUAAAAUCAGCGACAUGCUUCUACCCUGCUUUAUGCCACCGAGGCUGUGAAGUAACACAGAUGAGACACUUCUCUGCAAAGCAGUAAUGCUGGAGCGCCUGGAGAAAAACCUGUCCCUACAGGACGAGGAGGAAAGGAGGCAAACCUAAAAAUGAUAGCGGAGGUGUCCAGGUCAGCCACAGAAGCGGUCGUUCUGCCAGCACUUAGACAAGGCAGUGUUAGCAUACAUGCUACAGUGGGAUCAAGAAACCUGACUUGGCGUCUGGUCUUUGUGACACCAGCUCACCGGGCUUCACUGUGACACCACCACACUGGACUGGCAGUUUUGAAGGGGGCUCUCACUGGUGAUCCACACCUCCAGAGCCCCUGUGGAGACGCUGAGCAAAUGGAGCUUUGGCCCAACCCCCGAUUCCUCCAAAGGAGUUCCACACUGUCCUUUUUCAUGUAUCAAGAAUCCAUGUAAUAUUUCAUUUGGUAAAAUAAAGGUGAUGCUGUUUAAAAAGAGGUUUAGAAACCUAUGAACUAAAUAGAUAACUGUUCAAAAGUCAUUUUUUUACCCUAGCAUGCUAUAAAUCUAUAGUUCCCUGAAAUUUUUAACUUUCGCUUUUGUGUAUUUCAGAGUAGAGACUAAUUUCUCUGUCAAGGUACAGAGGAAGCUAAAGGAGGCAAAAAUUAAGAAUCAAAGGAAGUGUCAUCUGAACUCCACGCCAACUAAGGGAAUUUGCUGUGUGUCACUGAAAGCAUUCCCUCAACCUCACAGCAGGUUCUAAGUCCACUUCUCAUUUCAUCAGGCAAGGCAGUGUGGCUCCCCCAUAUCCUUCACACGUUCAACUUUCAAUUUAGCAUCCAAGGGAUUAAUGCAAUAUAAAUACAGAAACUUUAAUAAGACACUGGAAGAGACUUAUCCUAAAGUUAGUCUUUUACUCUCUUAAAAGUGUAUAUAUAUUUACACUUUCUAGGAUAAAAUGACUUUAUCCUAGAAAAUUAGAAAAAAAUUAUAUAAGAGUAUAUUAAUUCAAAUGCAAUUAUUUCUACAGAAAGCUUUAUAUGUAAUUUUUCCUGUUGUAGAGUUUUUAAUAUGUUAUUUUGGGGAGUUAAAGAAAUCUAGUAAUACCUAUUAAAGUUUUAAUAAGGUUAAACAGUCAGUUUACUUUUUGCUUGUAGGGGGAAGAAUGAGAAGGAAGGAGGUACAGAAUAGAACUUAAAAUUAAACAAAAACUUUUAUCGUCUUUGACUUUUUCCUUCUUUUUUACAAAAAUAAAUAUCUUGAUUCCGGACAGGAUUAGAAAGUUACCCCCACGAAAGGAAAAGCAAUCAAAAGUUUGAGGGGUUAGAGUAGCAUUUUCAUAUUUUAUAAUGUUACCACACACUAAAGUAUACUACUUUUCAGCUUAAUACUGAAUUUUUAAAGCACUCUCAAAAAUUUGUUAUGUGCUUGAUAUAAACUUCAUUUAACUUUGAAGGAGUUCAUGAGUUAAUGACGUUUUGCUAAUUCACUAUUAUAUGCAGCCUGAAAUUCAUCAGAAUGAUUUCAUAUCACUUAGUAAGCAAAAUCUUUCAAAAAAAGGUGGAAGUGCUUAAGGAUUUUCCCUGAAGGAUGAACAGAAGUCACAAUAACUGUGCACACUCCCUCCCCAGUGUCCAUAGGGAAAUGGCCACUGUCCAGAAGCUUCGCAGAGGUGCCCAGGCACCCUGAUUCCCAGCUCUGACGAGGAAACAAGGAGUAGGACGGCACCACUGCAAGCCCGAGCUGGGCCAGGAAAGAGCUCAGAAACUCAAGGCAGGCCCCGCCACUGUCUGGUGAAGAAAUGUGAGGAAGAUGCCCAAUUCAUUCCCUCCAGGACUUGCCCGUGUGUCAAGUGGGUAGGUGGGCCUGGCUUCGAUCCCUCACUGUUUCAAAAUGCUGGGGUGAGCAGAACACCCACCUGCAGUUACUACAGUAUUAAUGCCAAAGAUCUCUAUAAGGCCAGCCCAACAGCUGGACACUGAGACCAGGCAAAAUAUGUAUAGAUCCUGGAACAGGAACUAUCUUCUUAAGAAAAUAGUCUUGGCUGACCAAGGCUGAUCCCUCCUAAAGUCAACUGGUCAGUGUGGUCAGUGUACAUGUAAGAUAGGCAACGGGCUCCAAGGACAGCUGAAGGGCGUCUUUAAAGAGAAGCAUGGACUGUUCCAAUACCCUGAGCCACUCUGUCUCAAAAUAAUGGGAACGUUUCUCAUUUAUAACUGGCCAGGACAACAUGUGGUUUCCUUCUCUGAAGUGUUUCUGGCAUUUGCUGAGGCCUAUCAUUCGUCCCUGCACGUCAAGUGACUGGAAUGUACUUAUAAUAAUGUAACUGCUCCUCAGAGGCAUCUGGACUACAGCUGCCUGUCACAUAAGACACACAUGCAGAUGCAUAAACCGCAUGUAAUCCCUUUUCCUACCUCUGCUAAAGCCCUGUUUCUCUUAACGCCACAGGAACCUUCUCUUCUCCCGGGCUGAGAGCUACUGCCAGUCUGCAUGGAACGGGAUGAGUUCCUGGGUCCCUGAUGAACAACAGGUACAAUGCAAGGGCUGCCUUGGUCCAGCACCAAGGGCUAGUUGAUGAUGCAGAAAUGUUUUAUUUCCCCCCUGGGAUUUGGAAGCCAACUAAAAGGCUACUUCAAAGUCCACUGCUUUUUUCCCCUCCAAAGUGCUAUUUAUAAGAAAAAAACCAAAACUGCUUUAAGAGAAAGGAGGAGGGUUGUUUACAUCAAGAGGGGCUGUCUCCUUUCAGGGGUAGGACAUGUCUAAUUCAGUACCUGUAUCUGUAACAAGGAAACACUAUUAAACCCAGCUGGGACUCUAACAGCAAAGUGAUUCUGUGUGGCCUCCAAAGCAAAUGGGCCAUGAACCCCAAUGUUGUGAGGCUUGGAGAGAAAAAAGCAAAACCUGGCAUUAGUGAAUUAAUGAAAUUCAUACCUGCAGAGCUAACAACUAUUCAUUCUAAAGAAGUCACCCCUCCCCACAAGUACGGAUGAGGGCCACCACCAGUGGCGUUGCGGAGAGACAAGCACAGUAAGAGGGACACUGAAGACCAAGAACUUGGAGAUGGGCAAACUGUGCUGAGGGAGCUGAACAAGUUGAACGAGUAGCACCGAGGCAGGCUGGUCUCCUCCAGAAUGAAAUAAUGGAGCAGCGAAAAAAGCUCUACCCGAAGCUCCCGAGGGUCCUUAGACCCCUAAAGGACUCUUUUGUGAGUUCCACACACAAGCAACAAUGGUUUCUCAGGCUUUGUUUAUUGUAACUAAUUUUAUACACACAAUGGAAGGGGAGGUUAAGAGCAUGGGUUUUGGAUUAAGGGAAGUCUAGAUUUAAAUAUAAAUGUAGCCAUUUUGUAACUAUUAUUCAAAUUCUCUAAGUAUCAGUUUCCUCAUCAGUAAAAUGGAAAAUUUAUUCACUCUCCUAAGACAGUUAUGAGGAGUAAAUGAAAUAACAACAAUGCAUGUAAAGCUCUUAACACAGUGCUCAAACUUCAGCUAUUAUUACUAAAUUUUGAAAAAUGAGACCCGCUAGU